rnacentral:rRNA from 1 species
GUGUCAGCCGCCGCGGUAAGACGAACCGUCCAAACGUUAUUCGGAAUCACUGGGCUUAAAGGGUGCGUAGGCGGCACGGCAAGUUGGGUGUGAAAGCCCUCGGCUCAACCGAGGAAUUGCGCCCAAAACUGCCGCGCUCGAGGGAGACAGAGGUGAGCGGAACUUAGGGUGGAGCGGUGAAAUGCGUUGAUAUCCUAAGGAACACCGGUGGCGAAAGCGGCUCACUGGGUCUCUUCUGACGCUGAGGCACGAAAGCUAGGGGAGCGAACGGGAUUAGAUACCCCGGUAGUCCUAGCUGUAAACGAUGAGCACUGGGUCGGAGACUCCUCCAUAGGUUUCCGGCCGUAGCGAAAGUGUUAAGUGCUCCGCCUGGGGAGUAUGGCCGCAAGGCUGAAACUCAAAGGAAUUGACGGGG